rnacentral:sRNA from 1 species
CAGGCUUGAACCCAUUGGGGAUUUGGAGUACAGUACCGAUCAGGAUUCAGAUUCGAUAGGCAAAUGCACGUUGGAUUCAGGUUAGGAUUCAGCAUGCUUAACAGUUAUGAACAGUUUAACAAGAUCCCCUGGAUGUGACAGCUUUUUUUCAGACCUGUGUAGGAUUAGUGAACUGAAGCAAGAAGAAACCAAAGCUUGAGGAGGCGAAGAGAAUGAUGCAUACCAUGGUCAUUUUGGUGCUUUGAUGCCUUUAGAGAGAAGGAAACAACAGGUUUUUCCGGUAGAUUGGGAUACUUCCCAGUUGUUGAUGCAUGAGUAAAACCAGGUUUUUUGGCUUCUGUGGGUGCACACGGCAGAGUAUUCAGAGUUCUUGUAAUGCCUAAACGAACUCCUUGUGUUUGUAACACUGGGAAUUUGGGAUACAACAUUAAUCAGGAUUCAUACUUUAGAGUGUAGAUGCAAAAAGUUUUUUUUUAAGCAGGUUCAAUUGUUGCACAGUUUGCACUACAGGCACAACACUCUUAACUAGAGGAGUAUUUGUUUUUCUUAUGUUUCACUUUUAGACAACAGAUGUUCUAUGCACUGGUCAUUUUACUGCACCUCAGUAGCAUUUUUGCACAAAAUUUACUGCACAAUAGUUUCAUGAAGUGACCAUGAUACUGCACCUGGAGUGUAUUUCAAAUUUUCAAUGUCACCUCUGGCCAAAUUCUGUUUGAUCUUCUUUGGUGAUUGCUCUGAUCAGCAAUGUUUCUUCAGACAAUGUACUCCUUCGGGUUGCAAGUUCAGCAAAUCUUUAGCAGCAUAAUUUGUAUAGCUGGAAUUUAAUUGUGUUUUUUAGAUAAUGGAAUUUAAUUGUGCUGGAACAUGAUCUGUGUGUAAGCUGGAACUCCAGCCAGCCUAGUCAUCUGGAGUUUCGACUGACUGCGAUGACUGAGGAUCUUUCAACAACACACAAGUGGGGC